AUGCUGGAAAAGGAAGGUUUUGAAGUUCACAAUAUAGAAAGUAAAGAUCCGGUUUUACAGGAGGAAUUUAAACAAGAAAUAAGGAAGUCAACUAAGGAGGGAAAAAAGGUGGAUGUGACUAUUCAACAAGUCGGGUCAGCUAUGGAAAUGGUGUCAGGACAACCUUUUGAUGAGGUAUUAGGUGAGAUAGAUAAAGAAAUAGGAAAGUAUGAUUCCAAAAGGUAUGAGUCAGCAGGUUCUGAAGUAAGCAUGGGAAAGGAAAAUCACAUGGGCCAACAGAAUAUCAAUGAAGCCAAGGUGCCGUGUUUGUCCUCAAUGCCAGCCCACUUGUCUCUUUCUCCUAGAGUACCUUUGGCAGAGAUUCCAAACCCAUUUGUCAGUCACGGGUAUGUUGAGGGGACAUGGAAGAGAAUUACUAGAGUUGGGGUGGCAGCUGAUGCAUGUAUGUCUGAGGCAGUAGGGGGGAAAAGAAGUUUAGGCAGUGAUACAAACCAAAUUGAGUUACCAAAAAAAAGAAGAGUUUCACAGGGAGGUGUAACAAAAAAUAAGAUAUUGGCGGAGGCUGGUAAUCAGCCCUGCCAGAAGCAAUGAGUCUGUUUUUAUGGAACUGUCGUGGGCUUGGGAACCCUCGUACAGAGAACGAGCUUGUUAGUUUGAUACAGGCUAAAGAUCCCUCUGUCGUGUUUAUAACCGAAACAUGGGCAGAUGAAGCAAGGCUAGAUCGUACUUUGAGCAAGAUUAAUUUUGAUCAGAAAUGGGUGGUUCCAAGGCAAAAUAAGGGUGGUGGAUUAGCAUUGUUUUGGAAAAAUUCGAUUAAUGUUGAUGUGGUAGAUUCUCACAAGUAUUUUAUUGAUACGAUCAUUAAUGGGAACACUGAAAAUGCUUGGCGAUUCACUGGUUUUUAUGGUGAGCCUGAAACUCAUAGGAGAAGUGAGGCAUAGAGCAAAUUGAGAAGUCUAAACUCUAGAAUGAAUAUUCCUUGUAUUUGUGGUGGAGAUUUUAAUGAAAUUGUUCGUAAAGAGGAAAAAUGGGGUGGGAUCCCUAGAGAUCACAAUCAAAUGCAACUAUUCUGAGAUGUGAUCAAUGAAUGCCAAUUUAUGGAUUUGGGAUAUGUGGGGUCUAAAUUCACAUGGGCGAAACACUACAUUGAUGGGCAUUCCAUAAGAAUAAGAUUGGAUCGGUGCAUGGCUACAAAUUCUUGGUUCCAAAAAUUCCUAGGAACUAGAAUUCACCAUCUUAGCUGUAUGUCAUCGGACCAUUCUCCUCUUUUGAUCAAUUUGUCGAGGUUGCCAAAACAUAGAAAGAAGAGAUAUUUUAGAUUCGAAGAAAUGUGGUUAUCGGAUCCAACAUGUGGUGAAAUGGUUGAGGAAGUUUGGAGUAAUACAAGGGAGCCGAAUCCAAGCAUAGCCAUUUUGAAGAAAGUGGCUAAAUGUGAACAAGAAUUAACAUGGUGGAAUAAGCACAACUCUGGGCACGUGCGAAGGGAGUUAGAGAUUAAGAAGAACCAACUUGUUUUGGCUGAGAAUGAGGCUAUGGUAAGUGGGAAUAAUACUCGGGUUAGAAGUCUGAGAGUGGAGAUUAACUUGUUCCUAGAUCGGGAAUCAAGAACGUGGUGACAAAGAUCAAGGGUGUUGUGGUUAAGCAAAGGAGACAAAAACACGGCUUUCUUCCACAAUAAGGCUACAAAGAGAUUUAGAAAGAAUCUGAUCAGAGGGAUAAGAAACCGAAAUGGAGCUUGGUUGACCGACCAAGAGGAAAUAGGGCACGUGAUGGAAAGGUACUACAACGACCUUUUCUCUACCUCCAAUCCGAUCCUUGUAGCUGACUCUCUUGAGAAAAUCCCAUGCACGGUGACCAAUGAGAUGAAUGAGGAAUUGAUGAGGGAAUUUAUAGAAUUGGAAGUCAAGGAUGCCUUGAAUCAAAUGGCUCCCCUAAAGGCACCGGGCCCGGAUGGUGUGCCUCCGUUGUUUUACCAACACUUUUGGGCGACAAUGCAGAAUGAUGUUACUUCAGCCAUCCUCUCAUGGUUGAAUUCAAGUACCCUACCCAAACCAAUUAACCAUACACUCAUUACUCUCAUUCCUAAAAUAGCUAAUCCUGAACAUGUGUCUGAAUUUCGCCCCAUUAGUCUUUGUACUAUAUUGUACAAGAUUUAUUCUAAGGUCUUAGCUAAGAGGUUGAAGAAAUUUUUACCUUCCCUAAUUACUGAACAUCAAUCGGCCUUUGCUAAGGAAAGACUUAUUUCAGACAAUAUUAUGGUUGCUUUUGAGACCCUCCAUCAUAUGAAGCAACAUAAUACAGGGAAGCAUGGGUUUAUGGCUAUCAAGUUAGACAUGAGUAAAGCCUAUGAUCGGGUGGAAUAGGUGUAUUUGGAGAGGCUUUUGGAGAAAAUGGGUUUCUGUGAUAGAUUGGUCGCUUUUAUGAUGAGUUGUGUGAAAACGGUGUCGUACUCCAUCAUGGUAAAUGGUCAGCCAACUGGGAUGAUCCACCCUAAGAGAGGAAUUAGACAAGGAGACCCACUAUCUCCUUUCCUUUUCCUUUUAUGUACGGAAGGACUUCAUGCUCUCAUAAAACAUUCGGCGAGGAAUAGGGAUAUCAAGGGCUUUUCCUUAUGCAAAUGAGGUCCAAAGCUAACCCACUUGUUUUUUGCAGAUGAUAGCUUGCUUUUCUAUAGGUCAAUCCCUGAAGACUGCCAUAAUAUGCUGAAGAUAUUGGGUGAAUAUGAGUCUUGGUCAGGGCAAAAAAUUAACAAAGAAAAGACCGCAAUCUUUUUUAGUAAAUUUACCACAGAUGAAGCAAAAUAAAGCAUAAAGAACCUCUUCCAAGUCCAAGAAGUGAAGUCCUAUGAGAAAUAUUUGGGGCUCCCCUCUUUUGUUGGCAGGGGAAAAAAUGCUAGCUUCAACUACAUAAAAGAAAGGGUUUGGAGGAAACUUCAAGGAUGGGAGGGUAAAUUGCUAUCUCAAGCCGGGAGAGAGGUUUUAAUCAAAGCUGUGAUCCAAGCUAUCCCUACUUAUGCCAUGGGAUGCUUUAAAUUGCCAUUGGGGCUUUGUGACGACGUUGAAGCAAUGAUUAAGAAGUUUUGGUGGGGCAAAGGGGAGAUAGAAGGAAAAUUCAUUGGAUUCGGUGGAGCGAACUAACUAAAUCCAAAAUGGUGGGUGGUAUGGGUUUUCGCGACUUGGCUCAUUUUAAUGACGCCCUUUUGGCAAAACAAGCGCGGCGGCUUUUGCACAACAAAGACACCCUUUUUUACAAAGUUUUCAAGGCCAAGUUCUACCCUAACACUUCUCUCCUAGAAGCUAAGGAAACAAGGGUUUCUAUGCUUGGAAGAGUAUAUUAUACGGUCGUGAUGUUAUCCUCGACGGUGCUUGCUGGAGGGUGGGGAAUGGAAAGUCCAUUAAAUUUGGCAACACCAUUGGUUGCCCCGAAAACACCCGACCAAGGUCCUAUCUCCAAUGGUGGAAACAAUGGAAGAAGCCACAGUGGAUUACUUAAUUAAUGGGGAAGCUAAAACUUGGAACGUUGAAAUGAUAGAUGGAAUUUUUGCACCACAAGAAGCUGAGGAAAUAAAGAACAUCCCGUUGGCUAGAGAAGAAACUGAAGAUUCUCUGUACUGACCGUGGGAGUAUGAUGGGAGGUAUAGUUGCAAAACGGGCUAUCGCUUCUUGAAGGAAGAUGAAGUUGGAUUCCAAGUGUCUGGGCACCAAGACAAUGAGGAAGGGUUAUGGAAGAAGGUUUGGGCCCUUGAUUGCCCAAAUAAAGUAAAAAAUAUUAUUUGGAGGGCUUGCCGUAACUCUCUUCCUACAAAGUGCAAUCUAUACCGGUGAAUUAUUAUUACAGAAGAAUGCUGUGACCGAUGCAAGGAAGAAACUGAAGACUUUUUGCAUGCAGUGUGGGGUUGCAAAAAGCUGGAUGGGGUAUGAGGUGUGAAUAGCUUGUGGCAUUUUCGGAACCAACAGAGAUUUGCAAGUUUCAGUGAGCUAUGGCCUGGGUCUUUGAUCAUCACAGGAAACCGGGUCUGUUUGCCUUCAAUAUCUGGUCCAUUUGGCAUCAAAGGAACCAGGUUCGGACUCAACAAGCCCAUCGUCCCCUGCAUCAAAUUUCCCAGUGGGCUCUUGAUAGCUUCGUUGAAUUCCAAGCGCUGAAAAUGGCACCACCUCCAAGUAGACCGGUGAGAAGAGCAAGGUGAAAACCUCCAAACCAGGGAUCGCUCAAAAUCAAUUUUGAUGGCGCCAUCUUCGCCGAUGAAAACUGUUCAGGACUGGGAGUAGUGAUUCGUGAUGGGAAGAGGUUAAUCCUGGCCUCCAUGGCUGCUCGGGUCCCACAGCAACUCCGACCAGAGGAGAUCGAAGCUUUAGCUGCGUCUAGAGCCCUUGAGUUUGCUAGAGAGUUGGACGUUUCAGACGCCGUCUUGGAGGGUGAUUCUCUAAUGGUGAUUUCGGCCCUGAAACUUAAAAACUUUGGACUUGCUCCAUUUGGUUUGUUGCUACAGGACUCCUUAGCAUUUUCUUUAGGUUUCACAAAAUUGUCCUACUCUCACACUAAGAGAGAGGGCAAUACAGUAGCACACAAUUUGGCAAAAUUAGCUGUUAAUUUUACAAGUUGUGUAAUAUGGAUGGAAGAUGUUUCACCUGAUAUAAUUUUACAAGUUGUGUAAUAUGGAUGGAAGAUGUUUCGCUUGAUAUAAUGACUUCUUACGAGGCUGAUUUAGCUGGUAUUUCAUAAUUUAAUGUCAGUGCUGUUUUCUCCAAAAAAAAAAAAAAAAAAACUUCCAAAAGCAACACUUCACGGCUAGCAAGAAAGAAAUCUAGGUUAUUUGAAACACACACCAUGACACAUUGACACCACCUUAUAGCUAUAUGCUCAUAGCAAGAUAGAAAUCUUGGUUAUUUCGAAUAACGAACAAUGGAUGUGUGGUUUUGACAAGCAGGUGACAUUAUACAAGCACUUGGAAUAAAUAAUAGAAUCCUACAAUUAAAAUCAGAUAGAUGAUAGAACAUAGAACAUUAGAACUUAGAAUUUUAUGGCUUUUCCCAUUCGCAGUAUAGAUUUUUUACUAACUCGUAAGUCAUAUCGAGCAACCUUAUUAAAGAAAAAUUUAGAAAUUAAUUCGUCAUAUCAAAAGAAACUUAGUGAAAGAAAAUCUUGGAUCGUGAAGGGAACCAACUUAAGUACAAAAAUGGUUCUACACUAAUUAGCUCGAGAGAGACGACAUCAACUGUAGUAAAUAAUAUAUCAUCUUUGCUAUAAAAAUUUAUCAUUUACAACUUACAUCCGACCUACAAAAAUCGACUGUUCGUCAAUUUGUCACAAAUUUCAAGCACAAAGCACGACUAACACGCCUCAUCAGAAUCUUCCAUGCCUUGUACAAGAUGUCUUGUACGUAUUAAUCUUGCUUCACUCAAAGAAAUUCCAUCGGAACUCAUUGGCUCACUCGAAAAAAAGGCCACCUUUUUUAGCCGACUAUAACCAUCAAUUGGGACCCCAACAACUCAAGUACAUGACUUUCCUCAGAGACUCUUCUGACUGUUUAAUUUUCUCGUCUCUCAAUUUGCUUGAAACCAUAGCAGAAGUUGAAGAAGAAAGGUUCCUGGUCUGGGAAAUCGACCUGAGAUUAUUCUUUGCAUGUUGUUGCGCUGAUCUUAUGAUAAAAUUCCACCUGCAGAUCCCCUGGUCUUUCAUGGCUUCCACAACUCCAACACUCACUGCCACAACAGCUUUUCUUGUUGAACUCAUCUUUCCACUCUUCACAACACUGAUGUUUGCUCUCGCACAAUUGGAAUCAAAUAAUCGUAAACUUUAUGUAGCAAAUAGUAAUACUGAUAUAACAAGGAUUUAUGGUUGUUGA
rnacentral:sRNA from 1 species